UUUCGGAGCUGUGCGGCACUCUGAGCAGGAAUGGCAGUGUGGACCUCUGUGAUGGGACAUCUUGUGGGAUCUCACAGCCAGUUCUGUGGCAAAGGAGGAUGAAGGCUUACGAGGACUCGUCAGGAAGCUGGAUAACAGAGCGAGCGCAAUGUGCUAGAAUAGAAGACCAGAAAAUGAAAUGGUGGAGUUUGAGGCUGGAUAGACAGUUUGAAAGGUACAAAUGAUGGUUUGAAUAAAGAAAGGUAAGCAUUGUAAGUUUGGUAUUUACUAUAUGAAUUAAGGUACUGUUAGUGAUGAUCAAUAAAGUUAAACAGAUGGGAAUCUCUCUGAAUAAGAUUGAAGAUUGAUUGUUAAGCUGAAACAGUAUUUAAGGACAUCAGUAAAUAUACUUUACAAAUACAUAUUUCUAAACGGAGUGUAAUUUCUUACAGGUAUUACGCAUGGGUCACCUCAAGUGAAGGCACUGCAAACACAAUGAUUGGUCAUUCUGAAUUUCCGGUCCUUCAUUCUGAAUUUCAAAGGCUCCUGUGACAAGUGGACAU
ensembl:processed_transcript Gas5 growth arrest specific 5